rnacentral:rRNA from 1 species
AUGAAAAAGGUUCAGGAACCUAAGCUCAUAGUAAUGGCAAUCAAAGCUUUGGUUGCUAACUAUACUAUAGCGAGUGAUGCAAAGGCGACGAUCAAGCGGCAUGACCGAGAAAGACCAAGGAGCAACUAUGUGAAACUAAACGCGGAUGGGGCUUUUGAUCCAAACUUACUCAAGGGCUCGCCUGGCGAUGUCAUCAGAGACUCGAAUGUCAGAUUCGUCACGACGGGAAACGGGGAAAUCGAUUGGUGCAGAUAUGUGCUUAUGGCUGAGGCACUGGCCUUCCGGUUUGGUCUCAGUUUGGCAACUACAAUCGGGUGUAACCGCAUAAAGGUGAACUCCGAUAACGUCAAGCAUGCUCCUAGAGAGACUAAUUGUGCUACACAUGAUUUAGCCAAACUACCUGGAAGUAAGGUUUGUGCGGGGUGGAUAGAUCUAUCCAUAGAGAUUGUUGAUACACUCUUGUAA